rnacentral:rRNA from 1 species
UACGUAGGGGGCUAGCGUUGUCCGGAAUCAUUGGGCGUAAAGCGCGUGUAGGCGGUCCGGUAAGUCCGCUGUGAAAGUCGGGGGCUCAACCCUCGGAUGCCGGUGGAUACUGUCGGGCUUGAGUACGGAAGAGGCGAGUGGAAUUCCUGGUGUAGCGGUGAAAUGCGCAGAUAUCAGGAGGAACCCCUAUUGCGAAGGCAGCUCGCUGGGACGUAACUGACGCUGAGACGCGAAAGCGUGGGGAGCAAACAGG